rnacentral:rRNA from 1 species
AACGUACGCUGGCGGCACGCCUAACACAUGCAAGUCGAACGCAGUAGCAAUACUGAGUGGCAGACGGGUGAGUAACAUGUGGGAAUCUGCCUUGUGGUUCAGGACAACAUUGGGAAACCGAUGCUAAUACUGGAUAAGCCCUUACGGGGAAAGUUUUAAUGCCAUAAGAUGAGCCCGCAUUUGAUUAGUUAGUUGGUGAGGUAAUGGCUCACCAAGACAGUGAUCAAUAGCUGAUCUGAGAGGAUGAUCAGCCACACUGGGACUGAGACACGGCCCAGACUCCUACGGGAGGCGGCAGUGGGGAAUCUUGCACAAUGGAGGAGACUCUGCGGCGGCGAUGCCGCGUGAGUGAAGAAGGCCUUUGGGUUGUAAAGCUCUUUUGUAGGGGAAGAUAAUGACUGUACCCGAAGAAUAAGGUCCGGCUAGCUUCGUGCCAGCAGCCGCCGUAA